rnacentral:rRNA from 1 species
AUGGCGUGGCGGCGGGCGUUGGGCACAUGUCGCACUCUCCUCUUCCUCCCAUCCUCCCCCCAGUCAGAUCUUAGAUCUGGCCCUUGUCCGCCGCUGGUCGCCGGAUCCGCUGUUGACGGGGCUGCUGGAGGGGUGGUAACGGACCAGGAGAAAUCCCUGGCUGGAUUCCUGGCCACGACGACAGCGACACCUCCUGGUGCCGUCUUCCUCCUUGGAGGCUCCGUCGAGGUGCGUUUACCCCCUUCCCUCCCACUCGCAUGCCCGAGUGAAAACUCUAUUCUCUUCAGACUGGGCUGCAGCAACGUUUCAUGCGUCGCCAUCUUCCUGAAGGUGCCACCUUGGUUGAGUUGGGGGUGUGCAGGGGCGAUGGGUGUGGUUGUCAAGUGUGUGGCGGCUUUGCAGGUGGAGGUGGUGCCAUGA